rnacentral:rRNA from 1 species
UACGUAGGGUGCGAGCGUUAAUCGGAAUUACUGGGCGUAAAGCGUGCGCAGGCGGUCCGCAAAGUCUGAUGUGAAAGCCCCGGGCUCAACCUGGGAACUGCAUUGGAAACUAACGGGCUCGAGUGUGGCAGAGGGGGGUGGAAUUCCACGUGUAGCAGUGAAAUGCGUAGAGAUGUGGAGGAACACCGAUUGCGAAGGCAGCUGACGAAACUGUAACUGACACUGAGGCUCGAAAGUGCGGGGAUCAAACAGG